GAUGAACGCUGGCGGCGUGCCUAAUACAUGCAAGUCGAGCGAACAGACGAGGAGCUUGCUCCUCUGACGUUAGCGGCGGACGGGUGAGUAACACGUGGAUAACCUACCUAUAAGACUGGGAUAACUUCGGGAAACCGGAGCUAAUACCGGAUAAUAUAUUGAACCGCAUGGUUCAAUAGUGAAAGACGGUUUUGCUGUCACUUAUAGAUGGAUCCGCGCCGCAUUAGCUAGUUGGUAAGGUAACGGCUUACCAAGGCAACGAUGCGUAGCCGACCUGAGAGGGUGAGCGCCAACACGAGAACGGCAACGCGUCCAGGCCCCCAGGGGGAGGCACAAGGAGGAAUUCUCGCGCAGGGGGGAAAAGUUGGAGGAACCAGCGCGGGGGGGGGAAUAAAGUUCUCGGGAUAGAAAAACUCUUUUUUGGGGAAAAAAAAAUUGUGAAAGAACAUAUGCGCGUUUGGAGGGUACCAAAUAAAAAAGCCACGGCAAACCACGGG
rnacentral:rRNA from 1 species